ACUCCUGCGGGAGGCAGCAGUGGGGAAUAUUGGACAAUGGGCGCAAGCCUGAUCCAGCCAUGCCGCGUGAGUGAUGAAGGCCCUAGGGUUGUAAAGCUCUUUCACCGGUGAAGAUAAUGACGGUAACCGGAGAAGAAGCCCCGGCUAACUUCGUGCCAGCAGCCGCGGUAAUACGAAGGGGGCUAGCGUUGUUCGGAUUUACUGGGCGUAAAGCGCACGUAGGCGGACUAUUAAGUCAGGGGUGAAAUCCCGGGGCUCAACCCCGGAACUGCCUUUGAUACUGGUAGUCUUGAGUUCGAGAGAGGUGAGUGGAAUUCCGAGUGUAGAGGUGAAAUUCGUAGAUAUUCGGAGGAGCACCAGUGGCGAAGGCGGCUCACUGGCUCGAUACUGACGCUGAGGUGCGAAAGCGUGGGGAGCAAACAGGAUUAGAAACCCUGGUAGUCC
rnacentral:rRNA from 1 species